GGUCUUUCCUGUGCUAUUCUCGCCAGAGUGAAUAAAUCUCACGAGAUCUGAUGGGCCUAUCAGGGGUUUCUGCUUUUGCUUCUUCCUCAUUUUCUCUUGCUGCCGCCAUGAUUCUGAGGCCUCCCCAGCCAUGUGGAACUGCAAUACUUUAAAGACACAAAGUCUCAACAACCAUCUUCCGCUUGACGAGACAGAUCAUUCUAAUUUGAGCAGAAGCUACUAUGUCCUGCCCUUUGAACGCGGCGGCCCGGAAAGCUGACAAGGACACACUGUGUAUUUCCAUUCCAAUUCUGGGAGUGCUCUGAGGCCUCUGGGGGAGAAGGACCCAUGAAAUAUUCAAAACAUAAGUGAAUAAAAUAUCUAGGUGCUAGAUAUGGGC